GUAUUUAUUUCUGGGUUACUUUUAUUAGUACUCUGAAGAUUUGAGAUGUCUCCCCGCAAGGGCGAGUAUCUUUAAAAUUAUAGCCUCUUUUGUGGUAAAUUAACUCUGCAGAACAGUAUUUGAAUGGAACCUUGGUUUCUCAUAAUGCCCAAUACGCAGAAUUACCUAUUGAAAAGGGGGUCCAUAACCUAAAGUCUGGCGUUAAAACCAGACUUGAA
rnacentral:misc_RNA from 1 species